UACGGAGGGUGCAAGCGUUAUCCGGAUUUACUGGGUUUAAAGGGUGCGUAGGCGGGCAUGUAAGUCAGUGGUGAAAUCUCAGAGCUUAACUCUGAAACUGCCAUUGAUACUAUGUGUCUUGAAUUUCCUGGAGGUUAGCGGAAUAUGUCAUGUAGCGGUGAAAUGCUUAGAUAUGACAUAGAACACCGAUUGCGAAGGCAGCUGACUACGGGUAGAUUGACGCUGAGGCACGAAAGCGUGGGGAUCAAACAGG
rnacentral:rRNA from 1 species